AUGUAUUACAUUACACGAAUACGAAUUACACUACACUACAUUACCCUAAUCUCCUAAACACAGCCGCCAUCAAACCGAUUCUCAUCGUCUCCACCAACUUCUCCCACCGAAGAGCUGAUCCAAUUACUCACUAAAAUCCUAAAUCAAUUCUUCCUAAACGCACCCAACCACCAUUACAUCUUCUACCUAUCUGUUCUUCCUGCUUUCAUAAGGUACAACACAUCGCAUAUUUCGUCCGCCGUCAUCUUCACCGAGAAGCGAGCGUCACCACAACGGUCACUGACUCUACACCAUGGAUAGUAAUCGUUUUCUCAAUCCUAGGCAGAAACCUACAUCGAUUUCUUCUGCAAUUCGUCUUAGUUUGGUUUCGGUCAGUGGUUUUUCCAAUUUUUUUUGUCUGUUUCUUUGUUGGGUUAUGGUUAACGAAGGUCGAUUUGUUAGGUUUUGGUGUUCAUUUUUUUUGUUUGACUGCAUUCGUCACUCAAAAUAUGAGGUUAUCAGAUUCGAUUAUUUCUUGAUUUCUUCUUCUACUUUCUUUCACAUGUUCUUCGUUAACUACAAAAUCAAAUAAAGCCCUGAUAUCUAAGAUGGAGCUGUUAGAUACGGUACAUCAAACAGAAGGGCUUCAAGUUUUUUGUGUAUCUCUCUCCUGUCUCAACAUAUGCUCAUUUUGUUUUGUAUAUGUUGCAACAGAAACUUGAUUAAAUCUAAUUUUUGAGCUGGAAUCCUAGGAAAGUCUGAAUUUUUAACGGUAAUGUAUCGUGAUUGAAUCUUAUUAAUUCUAUUUGCAUCUGUUUUUGUUCAGUUUUGUUUCUAAGUUAACAAGAAUAUAUUGUGUAAUGGUUGCAGACUUGCAACUUGAUUGUAUGCCUAUAUUGUGAUGCAAUUCAGGUCCCAUUAGCUUUAAAUAUGGCAAAAAAAAAAGUUUCUACUGGUGGUGUUUUGUAUUUAUAUUCCUCUAAUUUUAAAUUUGUAUGUUAUUUGUAUGCCAGGUAUAUAAUAAGUGUCUGAACAAAACAAGCAAAGUGAUCUCUUUAUGACCAUCAGGCUAUACAACUCACAUUGUCACUUUAACCUCAAGUAUGUUGUUCUUUUCUCCUCAGGUGAUGUUUUUUUAACUUCAUAAACUUAAUCAGACAAGUCUCCACAUUUGUUACAUAUAUACAUAGAUCUCAUUUCUCUUAUCUCGACUCUUAAUCUAUGUAAAUGCAUAUUUCAGGGGUCCAUCAAUAGAUACAAUGGGAUUAUAAUUAAAUACUAUGUUUUAUGUUUAAGAAAAUCCUGAUUUUAAUUUUGAAAGUUUGAUCUUUGGAUGCAGAUUGUGGAUAAAUUAAAUGAUAAGAGAGUAUUUGGGUAUGAUCUUGAAUUUUAAAGUUAUGUUCGCUACAGUAAUAAUCUUGAUAGCAGAUAGUUCAUAUUUGAUGAGAACAUGGUAUUUUAUCAGCAUUUUGUUCUAAUUUCCUAUUCUUUUUAUGUCAUAAUAUAUCAAAAUUGCCGUUUAGUUGUUAGAUAGAUAUUCUUGACUAAUUUUUUAAAAUAUGAUAUUGAUAAUGGAAUUAUAAUUGCAGGCCAACGAUGGAAAUGGACCAUAAGAGAUGAAGAUGAUAAGCCUCGACUUUUUAUUUAGAGGAAGACCCCUAUCUCAUUAAAAGAUAGUGGUGCUGCCUUCAACCAACCAUGCACAAACAUGGAUGUCACCAUUGGAAAUAGAUGAUGGGCCAACACUUCAUAUGAUUGUUUUCUGCAAGAAUGGUAACUCUGUGGUUGACUAACAGUUGUAAGAACAGUUUCUGGUGAUUUCUUAUACAUAUUCAAAACUUUUCCCUCCUCCUGAAGCUAAAGGUUAGAAAAUGAGUUUUCCCUCCUUCAUAACUAGAUUGAUGAAGAUGUGAUUAUUAUUCAUUUUUCUUAAGAUGUUUGUAUUUAACCCACAACCCCACUUGAUUUUGUUUAAUAAAUGCAAAAUAAUAUUGAUUUUGCUAGACUUUGAAAGGAAGCUAAACCAUUUGCCAAGCAUUGCAACCAAUAGUUUCCACAAAAAGAAAAGUUUGUUGUUGAUAAAAAGCAAUUGGAAACAUUAGACAAGAUAAAUCAGUUGAUCAGGUAGAACACUAUCUUUUCUUGCCAUUAAUCACUCUUUGAUAGCCAAUGCCAUCAGCAAAUUAAGUUAAAUUUCAUAAUUUGAAAUGUAUUCAAGUAAUUUUUCGGUGUACGAUAUUUUGAUUUUUUUGGAAUAGGAUUGCAAAUUUUGGUAUUUAGGUAAUAAAAAUCUGACAAAUGGUAAAAAUAUAUCAACUAUAAUUGUGUGUGUGUGGGGGGGGGGGGGGGGGGGCGGGGGUUGUUACUGUGUGUAUGUAUGUUAUUUGUAUCCGCUAGGUGGUCAUACAAGUCGAUUGAGUUGGCCAUGCAUUUGUAUUGUGUGUACAUAAUGUUGAUUGCAUCUUCAUAUAGCCAUUAGCGGUUUUUCAGGUUGAAGACAAAUAAUGGAUCUAUGAUUCACAAAGGUAUAAAAGUUGGUUGCUAUUUGACGCCAUCAGCAUCUUGCAAAGCUUGGAGUCCUAAUUCGUAUAUUUCCUAAACCGAAAUGAAAUCUUAAAAUAUGGACUAAAAUGAAAAAAAAUAUAUACUUUUUUACCUAAACCAAAAAAAAAUCAUCAGCCACAUGGAGUAAAGUGGAGUUUAAAAGUUUUUUUUAAUCUUGAUUGCUGAUUGAAUUAACCAGUUGUAACCUUGAAUUUUUUUUUCCGAUGCUACCUAUGGUUCUUUUUUGUAGACAUGGAGGAACUUUGCUUGAUGGAAAAAAUAAAGUUCGCUGCUAUAUUGGUGUUUUUUCUCUCAUGAUGCUUACUGAUGCUAUGAGUUUCAUUUGAUGUUGGUAAUUUCGCAUGGUGAUGUCAUAAUUGACCUUAAGUGUUGUUUUUUUUUUCUCUUGUAAAGCUUUUUGUUUGAUACUCUUUGUAACUUGUUGGAAGUUGGCUUUUAUUUGUUUUAUUAUAGUUUGUCAUAGUUCAAAAAAAAAUAUAACUAGACAUAAUCAUUUGAUUCUA